AAGGGUAUAGCUCAGUGGUAGAGUGUGCAUGCAUGAGGUCCUGGGUUCAAUCCCCAGUACCUCCA
rnacentral:tRNA from 1 species